rnacentral:rRNA from 1 species
UACGGAAGGCAGCAGUGGGGAAUAUUGCACAAUGGGCGAAAGCCUGAUGCAGCUAUGCCGCGUGUAUGAAGAAGGCCUUAGGGUUGUAAAGUACUUUCAUCGGGGAGGAAAAACAAAACUAAUAAUUUUAUUUCUUGACGUUACCCGAAAAAGAAGCACCGGCUAACUCCGUGCCAGCAGCCGCGGUAAUACGGAGGGUGCUAGCGUUAAUCAGAAUUACUGGGCGUAAAGAGCACGUAGGUGGUUUUUUUAAGUCAGAUGUGAAAUCCCUGGGCUUAACCUAGGAACUGCAUUUUGAAACUGAAAUACUAGAGUAUCGUAGAGGGAGGUAGAAUUCUAGGUGUAGCGGUGAAAUGUGUAGAUAUCUGGAGGAAUACCUGUGGCGAAAGCGGCCUCCUAAACGAAUACUGACACUGAGGUGCGAAAGCGUGGGGAGCAAACAGGGAUUAGAUACC